rnacentral:rRNA from 1 species
UACGAAGGGGGCUAGCGUUGUUCGGAGUUACUGGGCGUAAAGGGCGCGUAGGCGGCGCACCAAGUCAGGCGUGAAAGCCCUGGGCUCAACCCGGGAAUUGCGCUUGAGACUGGUGUGCUCGAGUACGGGAGAGGAUAGUGGAAUUCCCGAGUGUAGAGGUGAAAUUCGUAGAUAUUGGGAAAGAACACCGGUGGCGAAGGCGGCUAUCUGGACCGUAACUGACGCUGAGGCGCGAAAGCGUGGGGAGCAAACAGGG